UAGGGAAUCUUCCACAAUGGGCGCAAGCCUGAUGGAGCAACACCGCGUGAGUGAAGAAGGGUUUCGGCUCGUAAAGCUCUGUUGUUAAAGAAGAACACGUAUGAGAGUAACUGUUCAUACGUUGACGGUAUCUAACCAGCAAGUCACGGCUAACUACGUGUCAG
rnacentral:rRNA from 1 species